GAGGUUGUGGCUCAGUGGUAGAGCACUCGCCUAGCAUGUGUGAGGCCCUGGGUUCAAACCUCAGCACCACA
rnacentral:tRNA from 1 species